UACGUAGGGGGCAAGCGUUGUCCGGAAUUACUGGGCGUAAAGGGCUCGUAGGUGGCCAACUAAGUCAGACGUGAAAUCCCUCGGCUUAACCGGGGAACUGCGUCUGAUACUGGAUGGCUUGAGUUUGGGAGAGGGAUGCGGAAUUCCAGGUGUAGCGGUGAAAUGCGUAGAUAUCUGGAGGAACACCGGUGGCGAAGGCGGCAUCCUGGACCAACACUGACACUGAGGAGCGAAAGCCAGGGGAGCAAACGGG
rnacentral:rRNA from 1 species